CGAAAGCCUGACGGAGCAAUACCGCGUGAGGGAGGAAGGCUCUUGGGUUGUAAACCUCUUUUCUCAGGGAAGAAURAUGACGGUACCUGAGGAAUAAGCAUCGGCUAACUCCGUGCCAGCAGCCGCGGUAAUACGGAGGAUGCAAGCGUUAUCCGGAAUGAUUGGGCGUAAAGCGUCCGCAGGUGGCUUAUCAAGUCGAUUGUCAAAGGUCCUGGCUCAACUGGGAACAGGCAGUGGAAACUGAAAAGCUAGAGUGCGGUAGGGGUAGAGGGAAUUCCCGGUGUAGCGGUGAAAUGCGUAGAGAUCGGGAAGAACACCAGUGGCGAAAGCGCUCUACUAGGCCUGCACUGACACUCAUGGACGAAAGCUAGGGGAGCG
rnacentral:rRNA from 1 species